rnacentral:rRNA from 1 species
GACGAACGCUGGCGGCGUGCUUAACACAUGCAAGUCGAACGGAAAGGCCCUGCUUUUGUGGGGUGCUCGAGUGGCGAACGGGUGAGUAACACGUGAGUAACCUGCCCUUGACUUUGGGAUAACUUCAGGAAACUGGGGCUAAUACCGGAUAGGAGCUCCUGCUGCAUGGUGGGGGUUGGAAAGUUUCGGCGGUUGGGGAUGGACUCGCGGCUUAUCAGCUUGUUGGUGGGGUAGUGGCUUACCAAGGCUUUGACGGGUAGCCGGCCUGAGAGGGUGACCGGCGACAUUGGGACUGAGAUACGGACCAGACUCCUACGGGAGGCAGAAGUGGGGAAUAUUGCACAAUGGGCGGAAGCCUGAUGCAGCAACGCCGCGUGCGGGAUGACGGCCUUCGGGUUGUAAACCGCUUUCGCCUGUGACGAAGCGUGAGUGACGGUAAUGGGUAAAGAAGCACCGGCUAACUACGUG